AAAAAUUUAGUUAAUUAAUAACAUUAAUUUGUCAAAUUAAAAUAAUCAUCUUUUGAUAAUUUUUA
rnacentral:tRNA from 1 species